AGGAGGUCGCUUCCUGGUAUCC
rnacentral:siRNA from 1 species